rnacentral:rRNA from 1 species
GCUUCUUUCCUCCCGAGUGCUUGCACUCAAUUGGAAAGAGGAGUGGCGGACGGGUGAGUAACACGUGGGUAACCUACCCAUCAGAGGGGGAUAACACUUGGAAACAGGUGCUAAUACCGCAUAACAGUUUAUGCCGCAUGGCAUAAGAGUGAAAGGCGCUUUCGGGUGUCGCUGAUGGAUGGACCCGCGGUGCAUUAGCUAGUUGGUGAGGUAACGGCUCACCAAGGCCACGAUGCAUAGCCGACCUGAGAGGGUGAUCGGCCACACUGGGACUGAGACACGGCCCAGACUCCUACGGGAGGCAGCAGUAGGGAAUCUUCGGCAAUGGACGAAAGUCUGACCGAGCAACGCCGCGUGAGUGAAGAAGGUUUUCGGAUCGUAAAACUCUGUUGUUAGAGAAGAACAAGGACGUUAGUAACUGAACGUCCCCUGACGGUAUCUAACCAGAAAGCCACGGCUAACUACGUGCCAGCAGCCGCGGUAAUACGUAGGUGGCAAGCGUUGUCCGGAUUUAUUGGGCGUAAAGCGAGCGCAGGCGGUUUCUUAAGUCUGAUGUGAAAAGCCCCCGGCUCAACCGGGGAGGGUCAUUGGAAACUGGGAGACUUGAGUGCAGAAGAGGAGAGUGGAAUUUCCAUGUGUAGCGGUGAAAUGCGUAGAUAUAUGGAGGAACACCAGUGGCGAAGGCGGCUCUCUGGUCUGUAACUGACGCUGAGGCUCGAAAGCGUGGGAGCAAACAGGAUUAAAUACCCUGGUAGUCCACGCCGUAACGAUGAGUGCUAAGUGUUGAAGGGUUUCCGCCCCUUCA